AUAAGUAGGCAUGGGCAGUGGCUGUUCACAUCCAGCACACCUUUUCCAUUUGCUAAGAAGGCCCUGCCAGGCUGGGAGGGAGUUUGUCCCUGCCUGACUCUGGAGAGAAGAGCCACUGUGACGAUCCACAGGCACCAUGAAACUGCUUCAAGGGACCGUACUUUGUCUUCUUCUGUCCAGUCUUUGUAGCAGUGUGGACGACGCAGAAGUCAAAGAUACAACCACUCCUGUAUUAUCAUCAACUUCUGCAACAAAAACAUCUGUACCAACAUCAGACACAACGUCAUCACCAAAUGUUGCAGAGAAAUCAACAGUUGAAAUAUCUACUAAAGGAGCUACCAGCAAGGAACCCUUAGAAACAUCUCUGCUGUCAACACUGUCUUCAGUAACCACAGCAGUUAGUGGUGAAGGAUCUACAGCCAAAGGUGUCACGAAGACUGAGUUCAUCACUACAAGAGAAACAGUGACAAGUCUUCCACUUCCAAAUGCUAUUUCAACAUUACAAAGUUCCCAGUCCAAGACUGAGAUUCAGAGUUCAAUCAAAGCCACAGAAACACCAGUUAACACUCUACAACCAGAUGCAUCACCUUCCAGAAUCCCUACAUUAUCCUCAAUAUCAGUAACAAUUCUGGAAAACAUCUCCCAGUCUCAAGGCACUGAGAACGCAAAAAAUGCAAGCUCUUCUUCAACCAACCCCUCUUAUUCCAGUAUUAUUUUGCCUGUGGUUAUUGCUUUGAUUGCAAUAACACUUUCAGUCUUUGCUUUGGUGGGUUUGUAUCGAAUGUGCUGGAAGACAGACCCAGGCACACCUGAAAAUGGAAAUGACCAACCUCAGUCCGAUAAAGAGAGUGUGAAGCUUCUCACUGUUAAGACAAUUUCUCAUGAGUCUGGUGAACACUCUGCACAAGGAAAAACCAAGAACUGACAGCUUGAUGGAUCCUCUCCACACCUGGGCAAUAAAUAUAGGUAAAUAGCUUCUGUUGCCUUUCUGAGUAAUUGUGGAAUUACAUAACAAUGUUCUGAAGAGUAAAGAUGAAAGUAAUGGGAAGAAACAUGUUUGAAAUUGGCUUACUCUUCAGCUUCUGUGCUCCAGAGGUAGAAAGGGAGAAAGCCCUGUGGAUUCAAUCCUGACUUCCAACCCUGCUCGCCAGUGUGCACCAGUCACCUGUCCCAAUAAAGUGAUGUCCAGAUGACACGCAAUAAUAGAAGAGAAUCGGAAACCAUCCUCGGCCUCUCCUGUCCUUUAAGAUGUGAAAAAACACAUUACCACAUUUUAUAGGAACAUUCCUAGGGGAGGGAAUUUUAGGAGGGGCAUCUGUGAGCAGGUAACCUGACAGCCCAGGCAGGUGGCUUCACUGAUGAAAUGACUGUCCCUUGAGUUUAAAGUUUUCAGAACUAACAUUUCUUAUCCACAGAGACUUUCCUACUUUCUCAGUGUUCUUUUGUUACCUAACGUUUGUAUUUAUUGUUUUCCACUAUGUUAAUGCAGGGAACAUUUGCAAGUGUAUUAAAUAUUGGGUCGAAAUCCUGCCAUGCCACUUUGUACAUAAAGAUAUUUUAUUCAUGC